GUAGAGCCAUUACUGAAGUGCUCCCUGACGUAAACUCGGAAGCGUAUGAAGUUACUGACUUUCACAUCAUCUUUGUACAAAUAUGUCUGGAUCUGGACUAACGUGUGCCGUAAUCGGAUGUAACAAUAACAGCAGAAAGCUAAAAAUGUGGAAAAAGAGCGUAUGUGCGCUUCAUAGUCCACAGUUUAAAAGAGGAUUGUCCAUGUUGUGUGCCCUACGGUGUACACCGCUUCCCCGGCCGUGCUGAGGAUGAAGACAUUCGCAAGAUGUGGAUUAAAAACGUACACCGAAAGGACUUUGCCCCCAAACAAGUAUUCAAGGGUGUGUGGAGUACACUUCCCUGACGGCAGACCAACGCAGGAACACCCAUAUCCCAUAAUAUGGGAUAUGAAUAUAGUAAAGCACCGUCAUGUGGAAGACCACCCCAAAGAGGAGAUGUCUCCAGCCCCCAACAGAGAGACCAUGUGAUGAGCCUCCUGUGACAGAUUCUGACACCGAAGUAGGGCAUAGCUUGGAGGAUAGUCUGUCUCCACACCAAUGUGAUGUUGGCACUCAGUGGCCAGAGCGUAGUGAUCAUGAUUGUUGUUCGAUGAAGUCAACAAAAGAUGCAAGCACACAAACCGAUCCUACACCAUCACUGUCAGAUCAUGACAUGGAUGAUAAAGUGUCAAAACUUUACACUGGACUAGACAUCAUCAGCUUUUGGCAACUUUUGAACACCAUCAUUGGCUUUCUUCCACAGUCGAAGACGUUCAAAUUACCAGUCCAUGAACAGCUAAGUGCUGGUCCUAAUGAGGCUUCGGCUUGGCUACAGCCUGUGAUAUGUCCGCAAUGUGGAGAGCAACACUUGCCAAUUUCACAAGGGAAAAUCUUAUUUUUUGGCUCCCUCGAGACACUCUGAAUAGAGUAAGACCCUCAAGUGUUCUUGAACACUAUCCCAAUGCAACAUGCAUCAUAGAUUGCACUGAAAUAUUUGUCCAAAGACCGAAGAACUUGGGGAAAAGAGCAAAAACAUACAGCAACUAUAAGCAUCACAACACCUACAAAGUCCUCUAUUGCAUAGCCCCCAAUGGUUUUGUGAUGUAUGUGUCAAAACUGUUUGGUGGCAGAGCUAGUGACACUUUUAUCUUAAACUGUGGAUUUCUGGUGAUCAGAUUUUGACAGACCGGGGAUACACAAUUGGAGAUGUUCUUCCUCCAGGAGUGACAUUGGCUAUUCCAGCAUUUACACGUGGAUGUACACAACUAUCAGAACAUGAAGUCACAGGAACCCGCCGUCUCGCCAAUGUCCGAAUUCAUGUUGAACGUGCAAUAAGAAGGUUAAAAUGCUUCAAAAUUUUGAGUAAUGUAAUUCCAGGUUGAUUAAAACAUGUUGAUGACAUUUUGA